GGACAAUGAUGAUGGAAUAAUAAAGGUCUCGUUCGUCGUAAUGGCUUGUAUAAGAGCCUUGCCGACCAUCUUUAUGCUGAGUCU